CUUUCUUAUCGAUUAACCUAUGACUAGUGAUUAUACCUUUCAUAUUAUAUUAGGUUUUUAUUGGGGAGGAGGGGGGGUACAGACCUGGUCUAUUUUAGUUACAUUAAGCAUUUCAUUGCAGGAUUUGCCCAGCUCCCAGCAAUCCUUCACACAAGUCCUGGUGUAAUUUGUUGAUCCUUGAGAUCUCCAGUGCAUGCCCCACAUCCUUCCUUGCAACCUGUAUCCCCCCUUUGUUGGGUUUAAGCCCAGUUCCAGGCCUGUGCAGCUUUAUCAGUCUGCCAUCCAGGAGACAGUGCUGGAGGUGGGAUAAGGGCUCACCACCCACUGCAAAAACUAGCGACUGCCAGUGUUUUAUUUAAAAACAAUAACCCCACUAGUCUUUAAUUCCCAGCCCUUAAUAUGCCACAAUGUCCUGUAUUGCUGAAAAGCCAGGACAUUAUGAUCAUACCGCAAUGUUUGGGACAAGGUCUUGCUUUCGUCCUUAUUAAAGUGUGUAAUAUAUAUGUAAACAUGCUUAUACAAUACACACACUCUCACAUCUAC